CCCGACUGCUAUCGGGAUAAUGCUAAGCCAUGGAAGUCGAACGCCUCCAGCCACGUGGGGGCGUGGCGUACGGCUCAGUAGCACACGGCUAAUCUACCCUUGGGAGGGGUAUAACCCCGGGAAACUGGGGCUAAUACCCCAUAGACGAGCAACCCUGGAAUGGGUGCUCAUCGAAAGGGCGUGGGAGCAUGCUUCCACGUCGCCCAAGGAUGAGGCUGUGUUCCAUCAGGUAGUUGGCGAGGUAACGGCUCGCCAAGCCGAUAACGGAUGCGGGCAGUGAGAGCUGGAGCCCGGAGAUGGGCACUGAGACAAGGGCCCAGGCCCUACGGGGCGCACCAGGCGAGAAACCUUAGCAAUGCGGGAAACCGUGACUGGGCUAUCCCGAGUGCCAGCCGCUAAGGCUGGCUUUUCCCCAGAGUAAAAACCUGGGGGAAUAAGCGGGGGGCAAGACUGGUGUCAGCCGCCGCGGUAAUACCAGCUCCGCGAGUGGUCGGGACGAUUAUUGAGCCUAAAGCGCUCGUAGCCGGUCCGGUAAGUCCUGUGCUAAAUCCAACGGCUCAACCGUUGGGCCGCAUGGGAUACUGCCGGGCUAGGGAGCGGAAGAGGCCAGGGGUACUCCCGGGGUAGGGGCGAAAUCCUAUAAUCCCGGGAGGACGACCAGUGGCGAAGGCGCCUGGCUAGGACGCGUCCGACGGUGAGGGGCGAAAGCUGGGGGAGCGAACCGGAUUAGAUACCCGGGUAGUCCCAGCUGUAAACGAUGCGGAUUGGGUGCCGGUACGGCUUCGGGCCGUAUCGGUGCCUCAGGGAAGCCGUUAAAUCCGCCGCUUGGGGAGUACGGUCGCAAGACUGAAACUUAAAGGAAUUGGCGG
rnacentral:rRNA from 1 species